ensembl:snRNA U6 U6 spliceosomal RNA
GUGCUCGCUUUGGCAGCACAUAUACUAAAAUUGGACUGAUACAGAGAAGAUUAGCAAGGCCCCUGUGCAAGGAUGACAUGAAAAUUUGUGAAGCAUUCUAUAUUUAA